AUUGAACGCUGGCGGCAGGCCUAACACAUGCAAGUCGAGCGACCGGCGGACGGGUGAGUAAUGGAUAGGGACUGCCCGAUGGGGGGGGAUAACUGCUGGAGACGGUAGCUAAUACCGCAUACUAUCGGAUAACCCAUAUGGGAUUAGCUAGUAGGUGAGGUAAUGGCCUACAUAGGCGACGAUCCCUAGCUGGUCUGAGAGGAUGAUCAGCCACACUGGAACUGAGACACGGCCCAGACUCCUACGGAGGCAGCAGUGGGGAAUAUUGCACAAUGGGCGCAAGCCUGAUGCAGCCAUGCCGCGUGUAUGAAGAAGGUCCUAGGUUUGUAAAGUACUUUAAGUCGGGAGGCGUUACCGACAGAAGAAGCACCGGCUAACUCCGUGCCAGCAGCCGCGGUAAUAC
rnacentral:rRNA from 1 species